UAAAUUUGCCAGUUAUAGGAA
rnacentral:piRNA from 1 species